UGGGGAAUAUUGGACAAUGGGCGCAAGCCUGAUCCAGCCAUGCCGCGUGGGUGAUGAAGGCCCUAGGGUUGUAAACUGCUUUUACACCGGAGAAAACCCCCUUUCGUGAAAGGGGCUGAUAGUAUGGUGAGAAUAAGCAUCGGCUAACUUC
rnacentral:rRNA from 1 species